CCUACGGGCGGCAGCAGUGAGGAAUAUUGGUCAAUGGCCGAGAGGCUGAACCAGCCAAGUCGCGUGAGGGAAGACGGCCCUACGGGUUGUAAACCUCUUUUGUCGGGGAGCAAAGCGAACCACGUGUGGUUCAUUGAGAGUACCCGAAGAAAAAGCAUCGGCUAACUCCGUGCCAGCAGCCGCGGUAAUACGGAGGAUGCAAGCGUUAUCCGGUUUUAUUGGGUUUAAAGGGUGCGCAGGCGGAGGUGCAAGUCAGCGGUAAAAUUGCGGGGCUCAACCCCGUACUGCCGUUGAAACUGCUUCCCUUGAGUGCGCGAGAAGUAUGCGGAAUGCGUGGUGUAGCGGUGAAAUGCAUAGAUAUCACGCAGAACUCCGAUUGCGAAGGCAGCAUACCGGCGCGCAACUGACGCUCAUACACGAAAGCGUGGGUAUCGAACAGGAUUAGAUACCCGUGUAGUC
rnacentral:rRNA from 1 species